CGCCUGGCAGGUCCGCACGCGUGUUGCCUGAAGGCACCUUAACGUGGCGGCGUGUUUGAACCGGCCGAAGGCGAAGCACCGCGGGAGCCGGGCAGCUCCGCGAGCCCCGAAGUGGCCUGUACCUGCAGAUCCGAGUCAGCUUUAGGGGUUUCUCCCUCCCGGGAAGGAAGUUUGUCCCUAGUGCCCACAGCAGGAUGGGCCACGCCAUAAGCAGAGCUCCUCACCAGUUGUGGCAAUGACAGAAGAAAAAGCGUACCAGCUGCCCAAAUGACUUUCUAAAUUGCUGGUAUUGGGGCCCAGGCUGAAAAACUGCUGGGCUAGACCCUGCCUUCUCACGUGAUGUUACGACCUUUCUACUUGGAUCUGUGUAUGUCUGCGAAUUUCCAUUAUGGCUUUAUACUCCAAAGGACCUACUUCCAGCUGCUGGCCUGCAGGGUGGGAGGAGUGGAGUGGACUCCUGUCCGGACAGUGAGAGAAAAAGAAAAAAGAGAAGACAGUGUUAAUGUGAAUUGGUACCACUGUAAGCUGGCUUCGUGCUCUCUGGACCUGCAAAGGUUUUAAUAUGAUUCUCCUGGGGGGCAUUCACUUGUCCCUAAUCCUCCCCUAGGGUCUCACUUAGCUUGGAGGAGAGGUUUGAGACAACCCCAGGCCACGUUUCCCCUGUCCCCCACAAUCCCAAAUCCUCUCUAUAGGAAAUGAUCAUGCAUACCUCUCACCAACAACCUUUGGGAUCACGGGCCAAUCCCAGUGUAGCUUCACUCUCCUGCUUCUACCAUCAAAGCAAUCAGCCCCUCUUGGAUGUCCUGGAGGAAGUCAGCCUGCACUCCAUAGUCUGCAGCACUCCUAGGCCUGAGUCAGUCACCAGAUCUCUGUCUCUCUCAAUUACAGGGACAGUAUUCCAAGUUCUCCAAGUAGCAUCCUUGAGGCUUCCCUUACUAGGCCAAGGGUUAGAUGGUAAUAUUCCAGCCCAACCUUCUCCUUCCACAUAUGCCAUUCCUUAGGGUUAGAGGUGGAGAGCCACAGACCAGCAAAAUUCUCAGGAAAGAAAUCUGUUUAAUUAGUCUCUCCAUUCCAACCCAUUUAUUGAUGUUUUAUGUCUGAGGGGUCUAAGAAUUGUAAAAUAAAUCAUUUCACAGCCCUUUUUAAUUCUGCAGAAAGAGGAGAAUUCAGUUAGAAGGGAGACAAAGAAGGAACAUAAUCUUUCCUGCCAGUUCACUUUCCAGUGUGAAAGUGAGCUUUUACCAAGACUGGACUGAACCUUUUUAAUAUCUGAUGUUACCUUCAUCAAGUUAAACCCGUUUGGUAAACUGGUUUAACCCUUCCGCUGACUCUGAACACAUAAGUGGUGGAAUACUAUUAUGCAGUUGCUUGAUUUUUCACACUGGAAAAGCCUUACAAGUGUCUAUUGCUGGCAAGUGGGGCUACGUACGAGUAGUGGUUUGAAUCAGAAAAUUGGGACGGAAGGGUCUAGACGGGUACCUCUCUCCAUAUCUCCCUUCUUCAGCCUAGUCAGGAACUACGAUUCAUCUAACAUACACACCCGACCAGCAAGGACUGAAUACCUCCUGAAAAUCUGAGAAGCCUUUAAUUACAGACCACAGUUCUUUAAAAAUAAUAAUCUUUAUCAGUUGUUUAUGAUUAUAAAAGGAAUACAUGCUUAUUUAUAAAAUUUCCAGACAUAAAUAAAUGGAAACCGAAAAGGUUCUAAUGAAUUGACACAAUCCUCUUUACCCCAAGAUACUUGCCUUGAAGAGCUUCUGAGUUUCUGUGUAGACAUUCUAAUGUGUUCCAUGAAGAUGUAGAAAACCAAAAGAUGGUCCUUUCCUGCUCCCCUGGUGCUAUAGAAUGAAUAUUCGUGCCCCUCACCAAAUUCAUCUGUAAAUCCCAAAGCUCCAAGUGAUGGUAUUUGGAGGUAGGGUCUUUGGGAGGGAGGUACUUAGGUCAUUAAGGUAGAGCCCUCAUGAAUGGUUAGCGCCCUUAUGGAAAAGACCCCAGAAAGUCCCAUUGCCCCUUCUGCCAUGUGGAAUUGCAGUGAGAAGAUCACCGUCUAUGAACCAGGAAGCCAACCCUACCCAGACAGCUGAUCUGUUCGCCCCUUCAUCUUCCCAGCCUCCAGAACCAUGAGAAAUAAAUUUCUGCUAUUUAUAAACCA